AUUUUCAACUAAGAUCCUGAAGAUCAGUGCUUCUCAAGCUAUCUGAUGUGGGGGACCAACAAUUUUUUUCCCCAGUGUGCGCGCAGACUGGCAGCCAAUGGCUCAUGGACCGGCACUGGUCCGCGGACCACCAGUUUGAGUAGCACU